rnacentral:lncRNA from 1 species
AGCACCGCCAGUUACCACGCAGACAUCCUGGAGAACUGAGGACAUUUCUUGAAGAGAUGUGAACAAAGACUUGCUCAUCCGGAUAGUGUCCCGAGGACAAACCAAAUAAGUCAUCCCACCUAAGUACAGCUUGGAGCCAGUGACUUUAUAGAAGGGUGACCUACAGGACCAUGGGUGACUCAGGACAGCUGUUAUCAUCAAGCCACUCCACCAUGAAAGCUGCAUCCUUGGAUCUCACUGUGCAACAUACAGGUAACCCCUCUGCCCACCACCUACCAGAGGUAGUGGAAAAGAAAGGACAUGGGGGAAGUGGACCUGUUUAGAAAUGGUUCUUUGGAGCAAAUCCCAUCUGUGUUGUCAGGAAAUCGGCAGUUUGGUUUACAGGUCAGCAACAGCAGCUUGAUCCACUUGCAAACACUUCACAGACACACCAGCAGUCCAGUUCGGGAGAGUUGGAAGAGCAAACACAAAUCAGCAGUGGUGGCA